rnacentral:rRNA from 1 species
CCAAUAGCGUAUAUUAAAGUUGUUGCAGUUAAAAAGCUCGUAGUUGAAUUUCGAGACCGGUUUACUGGUCGUGCUUUUGUACGUACUGGUAUUAUUGGUUUCUCCUUUCUGACGAAUCAUAAUGCCAUUAAUUUGGUGUUUUGGUGAAUCAGGACUGUUACUUUGAAAAAAUUAGAGUGUUUAAAGCAGGCUCACGCUUGAAUACAUUAGCAUGGAAUAACGAAAUAGGACGUUUGAUUUUAUUUUGUUGGUUUCUAGGAUCGACGUAAUGAUUAAUAGGGAUAGUUGGGGGCAUUAGUAUUCAAUUGUCAGAGGUGAAAUUCUUGGAUUUAUUGAAGACUAACUACUGCGAAAGCAUUUGCCAAGGAUGUUUUCAUUAAUCAAGAACGAAAGUUAGGGGAUCGAAGACGAUCAGAUACCGCCGUAGUCUUAACCAUAAACUAUGCCGACUAGGGAUCGGAUGAUGUUAAUUUUUUAAUGACUCAUUCGGCGCCUUACG